rnacentral:rRNA from 1 species
CAGUAGCCGCGGUAAUACGAAGGGGGCUAGCGUUGCUCGGAAUUACUGGGCGUAAAGGGAGCGUAGGCGGGUCGUUUAGUCAGAGGUGAAAUCCCGGGGCUCAACCUCGGAACUGCCUUUGAUACUGGCGACCUUGAGUAUGGGAGAGGUGAGUGGAACUCCGAGUGUAGAGGUGAAAUUCGUAGAUAUUCGGAAGAACGCCAGUGGCGAAAGCGACUCACUGGCCCAUUACUGACGCUGAGGCUCGAAAGCGUGGGGAGCAAAUGGGAUUAGAUACCCGAGUAGUCCCUGUCUCUUAUAC